GGAGAGAAGAUAUUAUUGCAGUUGAAUAGGAUAGUUGGAGCUCUUCCUUACAAGGUGUUGGUGACCCCCUUUUUAUAGAAAGGGGGUGCCCAAACUUAGUACAAAAAUACUUAACAUGACAAAAAAGAAUGAGAUGUGACAGCCCGUUAGAUUUACGUCAUAAGAGGGCUGGCGUCGAGCCGCUUGGAUAGAUUUGAUCGACCCCAGGUGCAUUCCUUGGGGAAUUCCUGUGUUCGUCAAGGUCUAAGCCGAUGUUUAUUCCUGGCCGGACGUCGACAGGUUUUGAGGGAAGUGACUGACCCGAGAUCCCGUGUUUCCAGGGUCACUCUACGAAGCAGUAUGCCAGGGAGAAAUUGGUUCCUCGGUUUUCACCGCACACACAUUACAACUUGCUCUUAUGUACAACUAUGUGUCUAAAAGAAAAGCAAGAAAAAGUUUAAUAUAAAAAGAAACAUUUUCCUAACUCUAAGUCUUUCAGCUUUUACAAAAACCCUUCGAACCAACUUCAGCUUGCAAGAAAUUCGGCUAUAGAGUUGUUUCCUACAAGCCAAGCCUUCAGUUCCAGCUCUGAAAUUUCUUUGCCUUAUUGCCACUCACAUACAAAACAACAGAAAUCAAGUACAUAUUUCAGUAUUUGUAGAUAUCUGUUUGCUGGUGUAUUCUUAACUAAAAUGACAAAGCAACAGAAGGAAAGAAGGAAAACCACUUCUGCAAUCAAAAUUCACAUUUUUGUAUAAGGUCUUGCCAAAAAAAUCUUCAAAACUUAGACAUUAUUUAAAAAUGGAGUUACAAACAUUAGUAAGCCAAACAAAGGGAGUCAUGUUGGUGCAUUUCCAUGUUCAACUAAUAAAAUCUACUACAUUUAUACCAAAUCAGUCAAAUAUCACAUGGAAACUCAUUCAUUAUACAUAUUUUGCAAACUUGCUGAUACCAUAUUAUCUCAAAACAAAUAGUACAUAAGGAAAAGUGAGAUUAGUACCUUGCAGCAGCAAGAAACAAGCAGUAAAUAGAAGAAAUAUUUGACCAAAACCUUAAGGAAGGAGCAGCCAACAAAAAACCAAGCAGCAACAGUGUAAAACCAACCCAGAAAACCAGAAUCAACGCUCAAAUGUCUCCAAAAUCAGAGUGUCAGAAAAUUAGCCUAGAAGCUUAAUCAGAAAAAAACUAAUGUUUUCAGGAAAAAAAGUUUCAAGGAGUUUUUCUCUUUUGCUUUCGGAGCUUCUGGGUACAGAAAAUGCUGUUGAAUGUGUGUGAAAAAUGGGUGAAUGGCUUUCUUUUUAUAGUGCAUAUCCAAAAAUGGCAUCGAAGAAAUAAUUUACCCUAAUUCCUUAGAUAGUACAACAUAUUUGCAAAGGAUAAAAUGUCCAGCUAUCCAUUUCAGCAUCUUUUAAAACCAUUUUUUUACAGCUGGUACUUCUAGAACUUUCCUCUUCCUAGAUAUUUAUUUUUUAAGUUCUGAAAUUUCCUUAAGUUUCUCUUAGUUCAAUUAAGACCCUACAGGUUUCUAAUGAUUUACGGAUCAAGACCAAAAAAAAGCAAGAACAAAUAAGGAUUCAAAAUUCAACUCUAAAUGACAAACAAAAACAUGAUGAUGCAAUUUAAACCUAAAAUUAAGCUAAUCAAUAAUUAAAAAAUGCCUAUCUAAUUAAACCUAAACAAAAAUGAUUUAAACGACUAAUGCAUCUAUACAGUAAUCAAACAAAAAUUAAAAUGGAAUUGCAAAGAUAGACUAAAAAUGAUCCUAAACAAAUACUGAAACUAAAAUAGAAAAGUAGAAGAAAAAGCAUAAUAAUUUCAUGUAUCAAACCUAAAGAUGAACCCUAAUUAAACUAAAUUUAUGCAAUUGAAAUUAAACAUUAGAUGAUGAAAUUUUAAUAUGCUUUUGACUAAUCUAAUAACCAGAUGCAAAAAUAAACAAACAAGGCAAUUCUGAACAAAAGAAAAGAAGAACCUAAAACAUGCGGCUAACAACAAAAAAAACAAAACAAAAAAAAAAGGAGAUGAAAGGGAUAAUCAGAAGAGGAAAGGAGAAAAGAAGAGAAAAGGAAUUACCAGAACUCGUUCCAAAUCCAGACUAUUCAGGGAUUUGAUCGAACCUCAAAGGGGUGAAAUGAACUUAAACUACAAUUAAUCGACUGUUGUUAACAAGAACAGUUGACUAAUGGAGGUUUAGGGUUAAAUCAAACACAAGUUUGACCGAAGAAAAUCAAAAGAAGGGAAAAACUAGGGUUCAUGAUUUCCAGAUUUAAGAUUUGGGGAAAUUAAAGGGGGCUUUUGGGGAAUUGAUUGUAGCUUAGGGUUCAUAGGGGUGUGAGGAAUGUGGGGUGUGAAUUUGGGAUGAUUUGGGUGAACUAGGAUUUUUAGGCUUGGAUCUCAGAUCUAAAAUUGGUGGUUUUAGGUGGGGAUUUUGAGAAAGAUGAUAGUGAGAUGGAGUUGGGAAAAGGCUCGGGAUCAAAGGGUGUUAAUUUGGAGCGAUUUGGAGCACUGGAGCCACCGUGAGGCGAUUUCUGGCGGGUGAUCAGCGGCGGAGGCGGCGUGGGGUAUAAGGGCAGCUAGGAUUUGUUUCACUUAGAGAUGAAGAAGGUG
rnacentral:lncRNA from 1 species